rnacentral:rRNA from 1 species
UACGAAGGGAGCUAGCGUUGUUCGGAAUCACUGGGCGUAAAGCGCACGUAGGCGGAUUUGUCAGUCAGGGGUGAAAUCCCGGGGCUCAACCUCGGAACUGCCUUUGAUACAGCAAGUCUUGAGUUCGAGAGAGGUGGGUGGAAUCCUAGUGUAGAGGUGAAAUUCGUAGAUAUUAGGAAGAACACCGGUGGCGAAGGCGGCUACACUGGCCCGGUACUGACGCUGAGGUGCGAAAGCGUGGGGAGCAAACAGG